CACUCCAGUGUUUAGUCAUGGCCAGCUAUAUGUCGCAUUGUCUAGGUGCACAUCUUUUCAUCGUAUAAGUGUCCUCUUCCCUGAGGAUGGGACUGACACUACAACAAAUGUUGUUUAUCCGGAGAUUUUGCUAUAGCAUUCAGUCUCAAAUGAAAAUCCAGGUGCACAGAAUGGAUUGGAAGGAAAAGGCCGUGGAGCUAAAGAGGAUCAAUUCAACUAGAUUGCGUCAUUGGCUGUCAAAUAGUAUUGUGGUGCAUGCUUUGAACUGGUACAUAGAAGUUGAUACUCAAACAUUUUGGAGAGUCAUGGAAAGG